CUACGGGUGGCAGUAGUGGGGAAUAUUGGACAAUGGGGGAAACCCUGAUCCAGCAAUGCCGCGUGUGUGAAGAAGGCCUGCGGGUUGUAAAGCACUUUCGGUUGGGAGGACUGCUUCUAGCACUAAUAUUGUUGGAAGUUGACGUUACCUUCAGAAGAAGCACCGGCUAACUCCGUGCCAGCAGCCGCGGUAAUACGGAGGGUGCAAGCGUGUAAUCGGAAUUACUGGGCGUAAAGCGCGCGUAGGCGGCUAGAUCAGUCGGGUGUGAAAGCCCCGGGCUUAACCUGGGAACUGCAUCCGAUACUGUCUAGCUUGAGUACAGGAGAGGAGAGUGGAAUUCCACAUGUAGCGGUGAAAUGCGUAGAUAUGUGGAGGAACACCAAUGGCGAAGGCAGCUCUCUGGCCUAAUACUGACGCUGAGGUGCGAAAGCGUGGGGAGCAAACAGGAUUAGAUACCCCGGUAGUC
rnacentral:rRNA from 1 species